AACGAACGCUGGCGGCAUGCCUAACACAUGCAAGUCGAACGAGACCUUCGGGUCUAGUGGCGCACGGGUGCGUAACGCGUGGGAAUCUACCCUUGGGUUCGGAAUAACAGUUAGAAAUGACUGCUAAUACCGGAUGAUGACGUAAGUCCAAAGAUUUAUCGCCCAAGGAUGAGCCCGCGUAAGAUUAGCCUGUUGGUGGGGUAAUGGCCUACCAAGGCGACGAUCUUUAGCUGGUCUGAGAGGAUGAUCAGCCACACUGGGACUGAGACACGGCCCAGACUCCUACGGGAGGCAGCAGUUGGGAAUAUUGGACAAUGGGCGAAAGCCUGAUCCGGCAAUGCCGCGUGAGUGAUGAAGGCCUUAGGGUUGUAAAGCUCUUUUACCAGGGAUGAUAAUGACAGUACCUGGAGAAUAAGCUCCGGCUAACUCCGUGCCAGCAGCCGCAGUAA
rnacentral:rRNA from 1 species